rnacentral:rRNA from 1 species
AGAGUUUGAUCCUGGCUCAGGACGAACGCUGGCGGCAGGCUUAAUACAUGCAAGUCGAGCGCCCCGCUUGCGGGGAGCGGCAGACGGGUGAGUAACGCGUGGGAACGUGCCCUUCGGUACGGAAUAGCCCCGGGAAACUGGGUGUAAUACCGUAUACGACCUCCGGGUGAAAGAUUUAUCGCCGAAGGAUCGGCCCGCGUUAGAUUAGCUUGAUGGUGGGGUAAAGGCCUACCAUGGCGACGAUCUAUAGCUGUUCUGAGAGGAAGAUCAGCCACAUUGGGACUGAGACACGGCCCAGACUCCUACGGGAGGCAGCAGUAGGGAAUAUUGGACAAUGGGCGAAAGCCUGAUCCAGCCAUGCCGCGUGGAUGAAGAAGGCCCUAGGGUUGUAAAAUCCUUUCGCUAGGGAAGAUAAUGACGGUACCUAGUAAAGAAGCCCCGGCUAAUUUCGUGCCAGCAGCCGCGGUAAUACGAAAGGGGCUAGCGUUGUUCGGAAUUACUGGGCGUAAAGCGCACGUAGGCGGCAAUGUAAGUUGGGGGUGAAAUCCCGGAGCUCAACUCCGGAACUGCCUCCAAAACUAC